rnacentral:rRNA from 1 species
AUUGAACGCUGGCGGAAUGCUUUACACAUGCAAGUCGAACGGCAGCACGGACUUCGGUCUGGUGGCGAGUGGCGAACGGGUGAGUAAUGUAUCGGAACGUGCCCAGUCGUGGGGGAUAACGUAGUGAAAAUUACGCUAAUACCGCAUACGAUCUAUGGAUGAAAGCGGGGGAUCGCAAGACCUCGCGCGAUUGGAGCGGCCGAUAUCAGAUUAGGUAGUUGGUGGGGUAAAGGCCCACCAAGCCAACGAUCUGUAGCUGGUCUGAGCGGACGACCAGCCACACUGGAGAUGAGACACGUUCCAGACUCCAACGGGAGGCAGCAGUGGGGAAUUUUGGACAAUGGGCGAAAGCCUGAUCCAGCCAUUCCGCGUGCAGGAUGAAGGCCCUCGGGUUGUAAACUGCUUUUGUACAGAACGAAAAGGUUUCUACUAAUACUAGGAGCUCAUGACGGUACUGUAAGAAUAAGCACCGGCUAACUAUGUGCCAGCCGCCGCCGUAA